rnacentral:misc_RNA from 1 species
GAUGAAGAACGCAGUGAAAUGCGAUAAGUAGUGUGAAUUGCAGAAUUCAGUGAAUCAUCGAAUCUUUGAACGCACAUUGCGCCCUUUGGUAUUCCUUAGGGCAUGCCUGUUCGAGCGUCAUUUAAACCUUCAAGCUAAGCUUGGUGUUGGGUGACUGUCCGCUUCACGGCGGACUCGCCUCAAAAUUAUUGGCGGCCGGUACUUUGGCUUCGAGCGCAGCAGAAACGCGAACUCGGGCCCGUCGUAUUGGCUCCCAGAAGCUAUCUUCACAAUUUUGACCUCGGAUCAGGUAGGGAUACCCGCUGAACUUAAGCAUAUCAAUAAGCGGAGGA